rnacentral:rRNA from 1 species
GGUCCGAACCCACGAGCGUUGAAAAGCUCGGGGAUGACUUGUGGGUAGCGGUGAAAUUCCAAUCGAGCCCGGAGAUAGCUGGUUCUCCCCGAAAUAGCUUUAGGGCUAGCCUCAAGGUGAGAGAUACGGAGGUAGAGCACUGAAUGUCCUAGGGGGUAUUGCACCUACCGAAGACUAUCAAACUCCGAAUGCCGUCAUCUUAUACUUGGGAGUCAGACUGUGGGUGAUAAGAUUCAUAGUCGAAAGGGCAACAGCCCAGAUCGUCAGCUAAGGUCCCUAAAUGUAAGUUAAGUGGUAAAGGAUGUGGGAUUGCACAGACAACCAGGAUGUUGGCUUAGAAGCAGCCACUCAUUCAAAGAGUGCGUAAUAGCUCACUGGUCGAGUGAUCCUGCGCCGAAGAUUUCCGGGGCUAAAACUUACUACCGAAGCUACGGCAUCAGUAAUGAUGGGUAGGGGAGCUUCCCAUACGGGUUGAAGCAUGACCGUAAGGACAUGUGGACAGUAUGGGAGUGAGAAUGUUGGCAUGAGUAGCGAGAUGUGGGUGAGAAUCCCACAGGCCGUAAACCCAAGGUUUCCAGGGGAAGGGUCGUCCGCCCUGGGUUAGUCGGGACCUAAGCUGAGGCCGAAAGGCGUAGGUGAUGGACAACAGGUUGAUAUUCCUGUACUACCGAUAACCGUUUGAGAGAAGGGAUGACACAGUAGGAUAAGCUAAGCACACUGUUGGUUAUGUGUGCCCAAGCAUUGAGGCAGUCAAAGUAGGCAAAUCCGCUUUGAUAAUGCUGGGAUGUGAUGGGGAGCGAAAUUUAGUAGCGAA